UUCCGGUUGAUCCCGCCGGACCUUACUGCUAUCGGGGUGGGACUAAGACAUGCGAGUCGAGCGUCUCUAGCUAUGUUGAGACGGGGCAGACGGCUCAGUAACACGUGGCUAACCUACCCUCAGGACGAGGACAAACCCGGGAAGCUGGGGCUAAUACUCGAUAGGUGAGGAUAUCUGGAAUGAUUUCUCACUCAAAGGGCCUUGGAAACAUGCUUCCAAUGUCGCCUGGGGAUGGGGCCGCGUCCGAUCAGGUUGUUGGUGGGGUAACGGCUCACCAAGCCUAUAACCGGUACGGGCCGUGAGAGCGGUAGCCCGGAGAUGGGUACUGAGACAAGGACCCAGGCCCUACGGGGCGCAGCAGUCGCGAAAACUCCGCAAUGCACGAAAGUGUGACGGGGCUACCCCGAGUGCCAUCCGCUGAGGAUGGCUUUUCCUUGGUGUAACUAGCCGGGGGAAUAAGGAGAGGGCAAGACUGGUGUCAGCCGCCGCGGUAAUACCAGCUCUCCGAGUGGUAGGGAUGAUUAUUG
rnacentral:rRNA from 1 species